rnacentral:rRNA from 1 species
CCCUUAGAUGUUCUGGGCCGCACGCGCGCUACACUGAUGCAUUCAACGAGUCCAACCUUGACCGAGAGGUCCGGGUAAUCUUUGAAACUGCAUCGUGAUGGGGCUAGAUUAUUGCAAUUAUUAAUCUUCAACGAGGAAUGCCUAGUAAGCGUGAUUCAUCAAAUCGCGUUGAUUACGUCCCUGCCCUUUGUACACACCGCCCGUCGCUCCUACCGAUUGAGUGGUCCGGUGAGGCUUUGGGAUCUGAGCGGAAAGAGCGUUUCGCUGUUUCUGCUCGGAAAACUCAGUCGAACCUUAUCAUUUAGAGGAAGGAGAAGUCGUAACA